rnacentral:rRNA from 1 species
ACUUUCAACAACAGAUCUCUUAGUUCUAGCAUUAAUAAAGAACGCAGCGAAAUGCGAUAAGUAGUGUGAAUUGCAGAAUUUAGUGAAUCAUUAAAUCUUUAAACGCACAUUGCGCCCUUUAGUAUUUCUUAAAGCAUACCUGUUCAAGCGUCAUUUCAACCCUCAAGCCUAGCUUAGUGUUAGGCGUCUGUCCCGCCUCCGCGCGCCUAGACUCGCCUUAAAAGCAUUAGCGGCCAGUUCCUAGCAGGCUACAAGCGCAGCAGAGCAAGCGCUAAAGUGGCUGCGGGUCAGCGCACCAUAAGCCCCCCUAUACCAGAAUUUUAACCUCAGAUCAGGUAAAAAUACCCGCUGAACUUAAGCAUAUUAAUAAGCAGAGAAAAAGAAACUAACAGAGAUUACUCUAGUAACGGCGAGUGAAGCGGCAACAGCUCAAAUUUAAAAUCUGGCCCCCUAAAAGGUCCGAGUUGUAAUUUGCAGAGGGUGCUUUAGCAUUAGCAGCGGUCUAAGUUCUUUAGAACAGAACGUUACAGAGAGUAAGAAUCCCGUACGUAGUCGCCAGCCUUCGCCGUGUAAAGCCCCUUUAACAAGUUAAAUUGUUUAGAAAUGCAGCUCUAAAUAGAAGGUAAAUUUCUUCUAAAGCUAAAUACUAGCCAGAGACCGAUAGCGCACAAGUAGAGUGAUCGAAAGAUAAAAAGCACUUUAGAAAAAAAGUCAAAAAGCACGUAAAAUUAUUAAAAGGAAAGCGCUUACAGCCAGACUUACCUGUAGUUGCUUAGCCAGGCUCCAGCCCGGUACACUCUUCUGCGGGCAGGCCAGCAUCAGUUCAAACAGCCGGAUAAAAACCUCUGUCACGUACCUCCCUCCAGAAAAGACUUAUAAGAGAAGUGAAAUGCGGCCAGUCCGGACUAAAGUCUGCGCAUCUGCUAGAAUACUGGCGUAAUAGCUGUAAGCAGCCCGUCUUGAAACACGGACCAAGAAGUCUAACAUCUAUACAAGUGUUUAGGUGUCAAGCCCGAGCGCGUAAUAAAAGUAAACAGAGGUGGGAACCCCUCAGGGUGCACUAUUAACCGAUCCUAAUGUCUUCAGAUGGAUUUAAGUAAGAGCAUAGCUGUUAGAACCCAAAAGAUAGUGAACUAUGCUUGAAUAGAGUGAAACCAGAAGAAACUCUAGUAGAGGCUCGCAGCGGUUCUGACGUGCAAAUUAAUUGUUAAAUUUGGGCAUAAGGGCGAAAGACUAAUCGAACUAUCUAGUAGCUAGUUCCUGCCGAAGUUUCCCUCAGAAUAGCAGUAACGUUUUCAGUUUUAUGAGAUAAAACGAAUGAUUAGAGGCCUAGGGGUUAAAACAACCUUCACCUAUUCUCAAACUUUAAAUAUAUAAGAAGUCCUUGUUACUUAAUUAAACGUGAACAUUUAAAUGUACCGUUACUAGUAGGCCAUUUUUAGUAAGCAGAACUGGCGAUGCGGGAUGAACCAAACGCGGGGUUAAGGUGCCAGAAUGCACGCUCAUCAGACACCACAAAAGGUGUUAGUUCAUCUAAACAGCAGGACGGUAGCCAUAGAAGUCGGAAUCCGCUAAAAAGUGUGUAACAACUCACCUGCCAAAUAAACUAGCCCUAAAAAUAAAUAGCGCUUAAGCGUGUUACCUAUACCCCGCCGCCAGAGCAGAAAUUAUACUCUAGCAAGUAGGCAGGCGUAGAGGCUUGUGACGAAGCCUUAGAGGUGACCCCAAAUAGAACAGCCUCUAGUGCAGAUCUUGGUAGUAGUAGCAAAUACUUAAAUAAGAACUUUAAGGACUAAAGUAAGAAAAAGUUCCGUGUAAACAGCAGUUGGACACGGGUUAGUCAAUCCUAAAAAAUAGAGAAACUCCGUUUUAAUGUCGGCGCUUGCGCCGCACCUUUAAAAAAAAAGCUAGUUAAUAUUCUAGCACCUAGAUGUGGAUUCUCCGCAGCAACGCAACUGAGAGCGGAGACCUUAGCAGAAGCCCUAAAAAAAGUUCUCUUUUCUUCUUAACAGUCUGUCACCCUGAAAUCGGUUUGUUUAGAGCUAGAGUUUAAUAGCCGGAAGAGCGCCGCACUUUUGUAGCGUUUAGUGCGCUCCUGACAAGCCUUAAAAAUCUGCUUAAAAAAAUAGUUUUCACGCUAGGUUGUACUUAUAACCGCAGCAGGUCUCUAAGGUAAAAAGCCUCUAGUUAAUAGAAUAAUGUAGAUAAGAAAAGUCGGCAAAAUAGAUCCGUAACUUUAGAAAAAAAAUUAGCUCUAAGGGUUAGGCACGUUAAGCCUUAAAGAGAAGCCCCCAGCGCAGAUUAGCACUAGCCGCAAGGCGGGCGCCUUUCAGCGCUGGGCGGCGGGCACCUUUAGCAGGCUUCAGCCGUCCGGCGUACACUUAACAACCAACUUAGAACUAGUACAGAUAAGAGAAAUCUAACUGUCUAAUUAAAACAUAGCAUUGCAAUAGCUAGAAAGUAGUGUUGACGCAAUGUGAUUUCUGCCCAGUGCUCUAAAUGUCAAAGCGAAAAAAUUCGACUAAGCGCGGGUAAACGGCAGGAGUAACUAUAACUCUUUUAAAGUAGCCAAAUGCCUUAUCAUCUAAUUAGUAACGCGCAUAAAUAGAUUAACGAGAUUCCCACUGUCCCUAUCUACUAUCUAGCGAAACCACAGCCAAGGGAACGGGCUUAGCAAAAUUAGCGGGGAAAAAAAACCCUGUUAAGCUUAACUCUAGUUUAACAUUAUAAAAAGACAUAAAAAGUGUAGAAUAGGUGGGAGCUUCGGCGCCGGUGAAAUACCACUACCCUUAUCGUUUUUUUACUUAUUCAAUAAAGCGGAGCUGGGUCUCACUGCCCAACUUCUAACGUAAAGAUCCUUUAUAGGCCGAUCCGGGUUAAAAACAUUAUCAAGUAAAGAGUUUAGCUAGAGCGGCAUAUCUGUUAAACUAUAACGCAGGUGUCCUAAAAAGAACUUAUAGAGAACAGAAAUCUCCAGUAGAGCAAAAAAGCAAAAGUCCCCUUAAUUUUAAUUUUCAGUGUGAAUACAAACCAUAAAAGUGUGGCCUAUCAAUCCUUUAGUCCCUCAAAAUUUAAGGCUAGAGGUGCCAGAAAAGUUACCACAGGAAUAACUGGCUUAUAGCAGCUAAGCGUUUAUAGCGACGUUGCUUUUUAAUCCUUCAAUAUCAGCUCUUUCUAUUAUACCGAAGCAGAAUUCGGUAAGCGUUAGAUUGUUCACCCACUAAUAGAGAACGUAAGCUAGAUUUAGACCGUCGUGAGACAGGUUAGUUUUACUCUACUAAUAACCUUGCUCUAAUAGUAAUUCCGCUUAGUACGAGAGGAACCGCGGAUUUAGAUAAUUAGUUUUUACGGCUGUCUGACCAGGCAUUGCCGCAAAGCUACUAUCUGCUAAAUUAUAGCUAAACGCCUCUAAGUCAGAAUCUAUACCAGAACGGGGUAAAUACCGCCUGCACAUUAGAGUCGGAUACAAAUAGGCCUUUAGCUCUGAACCUCAGCAGGCCGGCAACGGCAGUCCCGUAGAAGUCGGGGCUGCUAGCCAGCGUAUUAUAAUUUUACAGUGCGUAAAAUUAAAUUUUUUGCAGACGAUUUAGUUAUCUAGUCAGGUUGU